rnacentral:rRNA from 1 species
AUUGAACGCUGGCGGAAUGCUUUACACAUGCAAGUCGAGCGGCAGCGCGGGGGCAACCCUGGCGGCGAGCGGCGAACGGGUGAGUAACACAUCGGAACGUACCCAGUGGUGGGGGAUAGCCCGGCGAAAGCCGGAUUAAUACCGCAUACGACCUGAGGGGGAAAGUGGGGGACCGCAAGGCCUCACGCCGCUGGAGCGGCCGAUGUUCGAUUAGCUAGUUGGUGGGGUAAAGGCCUACCAAGGCGACGAUCGAUAGCUGGUCUGAGAGGACGACCAGCCACACUGGAACUGAGACACGGUCCAGACUCCUACGGGAGGCAGCAGUGGGGAAUUUUGGACAAUGGGGGCAACCCUGAUCCAGCCAUUCCGCGUGAGUGAAGAAGGCC